rnacentral:rRNA from 1 species
GUAGGGAAUAUUGGGCAAUGGAUGCAAGUCUGACCCAGCCAUCCCGCGUGCCGGAAGAAGGCCCUCAGGGUUGUAAACGGCUUUUGACGGUGAAGAAUCGACAGGAUGCGUCCUGUUUUGACGGUAGCCGUUGAAUAAGCACCGGCUAACUCCGUGCCAGCAGCCGCGGUAAUACGGAGGGUGCGAGCGUUGUCCGGAUGUAUUGGGUUUAAAGGGUGCGUAGGCUGGAAGGUCAGUCAGCGGUGAAAAGCUGUCGCUUAACGAUAGUCUUGCCGCAGAUACUUCCUUUCUUGGAUGAGGAGGAGGCCACUGGAACGGAUGGUGUAGCGGUGAAAUGCAUAGAUAUCAUCCAGAACACCGAUUGCGAAGGCAGGUGGCUGUACCUUAAUCGACGCUGAUGCACGAAAGCAUGGGGAGCAAACAGGAUUAGAAACCCGAGUAGUCC